GACAGAGGUGCCGAGCGUUAGGCGGAAUCACUGGGCUUAAAGCGUGUGUAGGCGGGCGGGCAAGUACCCUGUGAAAUCCCACGGCUCAACCGUGGAACUGCUGGGUAUACUGCCUGUCUUGAGCCAGCCAGGGGCAGUCGGAACAGACGGUGGAGCGGUGAAAUGCGUAGAUAUCGUCUGGAACGCCAAAGGUGAAAACAGACUGCUGGGGCUGUGCUGACGCUGAGACACGAAAGCCAGGGGAGCGAACGGG
rnacentral:rRNA from 1 species